rnacentral:precursor_RNA from 8 species
ACAGUGAUUACCCUUCCUCUUUGGAAGGAUAGCAGCAUAAGCCUGUCUCAUUGCAGAAUUAUUUUGAGACAGGCUCAUGCUGCUAUCCUUCCAAAGAAUACAUCCACCCAGCUACU